rnacentral:rRNA from 1 species
CAGUAGCCGCGGGAAAACGAAGGGGGCUAGCGUUGCUCGGAAUGACUGGGCGUAAAGGGCGCGUAGGCGGUUUAUACAGUCAGAUGUGAAAUUCCUGGGCUCAACCUGGGGACUGCAUUUGAUACGUAUGGACUUGAGUGGAGAAGAGGGUCGUGGAAUUUCCAGUGUAGAGGUGAAAUUCGUAGAUAUUGGAAAGAACACCGGUGGCGAAGGCGGCGACCUGGUCUUUAACUGACGCUGAGGCGCGAAAGCGUGGGGAGCAAACAGGAUUAGAUACCCCGGUAGUCCCUGUCUCUUAUAC